rnacentral:rRNA from 1 species
UACAGAGGGUGCGAGCGUUAAUCGGAAUUACUGGGCGUAAAGCGUGCGUAGACGGUUGCGUAAGUCAGAUGUGAAAGCCCCGGGCUCAACCUGGGAAUUGCAUUUGAGACUGCGUAGCUAGGGUGCGGAAGAGGGAAGCGGAAUUUCCGGUGUAGCGGUGAAAUGCGUAGAUAUCGGGAGGAACACCUGUGGCGAAAGCGGCGCACUGGACCAUAACUGACGCUGAUGCGCGAAAGCUAGGGGAGCAAACAGG